rnacentral:lncRNA from 1 species
CUCUAACUUAACCUAGAUAGAUAGGUAGGUGUAAAUAGGAAAGAUAGUAGAAUUGAAUAAGAACAGUAUUAAAGGUAAGAUAACAAUGGGUGAUAAUAUGGGAAUAGAUAGUAGAGCAAUCUAGUAUAUGGGCGAUGGUAGGAGAAUUGAGAGGAUAACUAUGGUUUCUCUACUUCAAAGGGGUAUGUCUAUGUCUGGGACGAACCACGUGAUAAGAAUACACCACAAAGGAUGCUUAUCCAUAGGCCGAUAAACCCUACCAGUCCUACUAACGGGAGGUGGACUACAGGGGACCAACGUAACUGUCACCUAUGCGGCCUACCACACGAUCUGG